AUUUGGUAUGCUUGGAUUCCAUGUGGUUCCUCUGCCAGUUGGCGGCCAGGCUGACUGGCACCAUGCCUGGAUGUGUACAGACAUUAGCCGUAACCAUGGGAACCGCUUGGUUGGUAGCCAGUCGGACAGGACAGGACGGCAGGCACAGGAAUCCAUGCUGUGCCAGUUUAUUCGGUAUUUAACCUGCAAAUGUUUUUGUAGCCAACAGAAUCAAGCGAGGCCAUGGUCGAUGUGGGUUGGCCGGUUUCGGGACAAUUCGUAUUGAAUACUAGAAAAGGCACAUUUUAGGAGAAGUACAUGUUUGUCCUGAAUGAUCACUAAAUACAUUGAUACUGAAACUGCCACCCUAGAUGUAAUUUUGUGAGGUUUCGAAAUCAAGGAUGGUGUUCUGUGUCUCUCGCGCUCUCUCUCUCUCUCAGCCACCCCCCCCAACUCCCGCUCCUCACCCCCAUGGAUGCGCCCAUUGGCUGCACUGGGGGGUAUUAAUUUGGGCACACCGUAACAAGCAGAGUGAGGUGAGUGGGUAAAGGUUGUCAGGCAGAGUGAGGUGGAUUGGUAAAGGUUGUCAGGCAGAGUGAGGUGGAUUGGUAAAGGUUGUCAGGCAGAGUGAGGUGGAUGGGUAAAGGUUGUCAGGCAACCAGUGUUGAUCAUGCUGAUGUCUGCAUAACAGUCCAUCCAAGUCAAUGUUACUCAUGUAUGCUGCUCAGACAUCACUGGAAAUGGAACUCCCACACAACUAAACAUAGUCGUUUUUCAACUCUGGUAUAAGAGUUAAAUUUUUUAAAGAACGGUUUACAAGAGCUAGCACCUUGUUUAAUGAUUCAACAGACUUUUUACCUUAUUGGUUUGGGAUUCAAACUCUGUUACUGUCCCAGUGCUCAACUGCUGUCUUCCUCCCUGUUCUAAUGCUCUUUGCCUCAUUCCUCUCUCAGCAAGGGUAUACUGUGGUUUAGAUGAUGUCAUCUGGAGACUAUAGAAAGUACUUUAUUUCGGUACCCAGAAGAGAGUAUGUGUCUGGCUGAGAGAGAGGAGGAAGGAGACAAGAUUUUACCCUGGACCCAGUUUUAAUUUUCCUUUCAAUCUGGAUUUAGAAAUAGCAAAUCAGAUGUCCUUUGUCAUGUUAAUAACAACACAUUCUUUGUUCCACAAGGACCCCCCUGUAAGUUUUGGGACAGUAAUACCUUUUGCUAUUUGGAGUCCUGAGAAAUGCUUGCUAAUAAAUGAAGAAAAAAAAACAACAACUGUCUGACACAUCAGGAGUGCUCUGGGAGGUUGACCGGAUUUAUCAGCCACUACCAUUGGCAGAAGACUUUACCAGCAGAACUACAGAGGCCACACUGCAAGCUACAAACUGCUUGCCUCAGAAACAAGAUGGCCUGCUAACAGUUGGCUAAAAGAGCCCUUGGCGUUGUGGAAAAAAAGAUAAUGUGGACAGCUGAGACAUCAUACAAAAGUGAUUGCAAGGCGAAAGUCCAAAGGCAACUGCCCAGGGUUUUUAUGGCUUUGCUACGUCUGGCUGUCACUGGGACCGGCCCAUUUGUCUUAAUCGAUGAUGUAACUGUUGACAGCAGCAGACUGCCUUCUAAAGCAUACAGGACCGUCUUGUUUGCUGUGGCGGACUAGCAAAUGCCUUCAAACUACUAUAAUUAAACAGUGCUUUGUUAUACCACAAGACAGUGGCCACAAACAUACUGUCAUAAAAUUUCCAAUACAUCCAGAUGAACAUGCCUUUAAUUGGCUCAAGAUGAAAGCUACAAGGCAGAAGCAACAACAGCGGAACACAGCUGCAGUAUUCAGCCGUCACCAGAGAAA
ensembl:lncRNA